rnacentral:rRNA from 1 species
UACGAAGGGGGCUAGCGUUGUUCGGAAUUACUGGGCGUAAAGCGUAUGCAGGCGGAUCGUUAAGUCGGGGGUGAAAUCCCGAGGCUCAACCUCGGAACUGCCUUCGAUACUGGUUGGCUUGAGACCGGAAGAGGACAGCGGAACUGCGAGUGUAGAGGUGAAAUUCGUAGAUAUUCGCAAGAACACCAGUGGCGAAGGCGGCUGUCUGGUCCGGUUCUGACGCUGAGGCGCGAAAGCGUGGGGAGCAAACAGG